rnacentral:rRNA from 1 species
UACGGAGGGUGCAAGCGUUAAUCGGAAUUACUGGGCGUAAAGCGUGCGUAGGCGGUUCGUUAAGUCUGUUGUGAAAGCCCCGGGCUUAACCUGGGAACUGCGUUUGAUACGGAUGGGCUAGAGUUCGGGAGAGGAGAGUGGAAUUCCCAGUGUAGAGGUGAAAUUCGUAGAUAUUGGGAAGAACACCGGAUGGCGAAGGGCGGGCUACUCUGGACCGAUACUGACGCUGAGGCACGAAAGCG